rnacentral:lncRNA from 1 species
AACCAUCUCCUCCUAACAUCUAGCCUAAGUCUUCCCUAUUUCGGUUUAAAAGUAUUACUUUUCGGAAAGAGUAGUCAGGCAUUGGAAUGCACUGCCCAGGGAGGUGGUGGAGUCACCGACCACAGGAGUGUUCAAGAAACGCUUGGAUGUGGUGCUGAGGAAUAUGAUUUAGCCAGGAAGUAUUGGUAAUGGUUGGACUAGAUGAUCUUCUAGGUCUUUUCCAACCUUGAUAAUUCUGUGAUUCUGUGACUCUGUGAAAAGCAUCCUGCCUUGUUCUAUCACUAUAAGACGGUGUAAAAAGUCGAUCUCCCUCCUGUUUAUAAGCUCCCUUUAACAGCAACGCCAUAAGAACGCACAGACAUUUCGGUUGUAACCCGACUUGGUCACCCCGUUGGUGCCAGCAGCGGCCCGCAGAGCUCUGCUCUCCCUUACAAGCAGGAACGGCGGCGGGCUGCCAACCGCAGGACACGGCGCCGCAGGGACCGCGUGGGCUGCAGCGGCCGGCAGUGCGAUAUUUAUGUUAUCUUCAUUACUGAAGUGGAAAGGUUGGAUAUACAGGUAUGUAUGGAGGACUGCUUACACAGGAAGUACAUCCUGGGAACAUAGAGACUGUACUAACUUCUGUUAUAGCAAUGGUUCCCAUUAGUAAUAGCAUGAGAAAAAUCUCAGGUACCUGAUCAUAUUUUAAGAGUUAUUUGUGUCAUAUGGUCUGCUGUGAUUUUAGUUACCUGGUAAAAAUGUACUUUUUUCUCAGACUUUGAGAAUGUCUUACAACCAUAACAUCCUUAGCGUCACCUAGUGUAACUCAGAUGGGCUCAGUGCACCUACAUAAAUUUAUAUGAAAUAACGAUGUGACCCCAUGAAAGAAAGGAUAUGAGCAGCUUUGAACUUGUUAAAAUCAAAAUUUUAUAUAAAUUAGUCUAGAUUUGCCCUCACAGGAGGAGAUAACACUUUCAUCCUCUGCUGAAAUUCAGUUUCUUUCUGCUCUUUAUAGAAAUCUUACCUCAAGGGUGAGCUCGCCUCACAACGUGCACAUAUCAGUGUCUUCUCCUCCAGUUUACUAAUUUAACAGCUCAUGAAUCAGACUGCACUGCUCAGCACUCCAUUGUGCUUCUGAUAAUUAAUCAGAUAUGGCUCUAAUUAAUGAUUUUCAGCAGAAUUUAACUGUGGUCAUCUGUAACGUCAUGUGUUAUUGAUGUAUUUUAGGAAUAUAAGCAAUAGGAAAAGAACUUGUAGGAUUUUUUAAUGAGAAUUAUAACCGUUUUUUCCAUCAUAUAAUCUAUUGCAUUGCUUAAGUGAGGCUUCCUCGUUUGAAGCUAUCUGCGCGUCUAUGCACAGCUGCAUGGUGUGCCAUAUUGUUUUCUAUGGUGCAGGCAGUACCAUAGCAGCUACCGUGUAGUAAGAAGGCAUCUGUUUGGCAAAGGUUACUGGGACUAUCUCAGGGCGGAGCAUGUGCAGCUCUGAAUCAGAAGAGUUCACCAGGUGCCAGACAGCUGCUGCAGGAAAUGCAAACCUGGUAAUUGUCUUCUUUGAGCCCUAUUCUUGGAGUCAUCCCAUUUGUCAUUAAAAGCAAAACCUUCACGCUGUCUGUUCAGAGCUGUGCUUGUUUCUAUUAUUUUUGAGUUUUGAAGAUAUCAAAGAUGACA